ACUUUUAAGUUCAUUAAAAAUGGGAUUCUAUCUUCAGAUUAAAAUUUUUUAGUUCAGAAGAAGCUGUGUUCAAAUGAGCUAUGGGUACAAAAAAAGAAAAUCACCGCAGACUGUCUAAUUAAAACAAGCAAAAUCAUUUUGAAAAUGAAGAGGAAAAACAGAAGGUGUUUUCAUGGCAUUUUUUAUGAACUACUGCAACUGGUUAAGGAUUUCCAGUAGGUACUUAAAAUUUCAGGAGGAAUGGAUAGUACUAUACAAAUAACAAAAUGUGUUUAUAUUCUAAGACCUUAAUACUAAAUUUUUAAAACAGAAGCUCUAUCACCUCUAAAAAUGAGCCCAAUGUAAUUUUAUUAAAACCAGGAAUUCUAGGCUUUCCUAUAAUUAUAACCCAAUUAGUCCACUCUGUCAAACCUUUAAUAUUCAUCCCCAAAAGUAACAGUAUUUAGCCUGAGGUAUUUUAAAUGUGGCUCUACAGUCCCUAAUUUAAUGGCAUUUCCCGCCUCUAACAAUGGUCUUAUUUUCACUUUAGUUCCAUGACCUCUAUAGUAUUUACUACAAUAUAGUCAGAAUUAAAAUAGCUGGAAAAAAUCCUAGGACCCCUUGAAACAGCUGCUCAUUACCUACUUCUGUUAAAACAGGAGCCACACAAAGGUCUACAAGUGUUGCCCGACUGGAUCCAGAAUAAAGACUGGAGAUGGCCCUUUCCAUGGCUCAGAAGAUCUUAAGCAGGCCUUGUUUUACCUACCCUUAUACCUGGAGUGAGCAUAGGGUCCUGGACAGGUGGUUGUCUGAAGAGUUCAUGCGAAAUAAUAUAGAGUGCUGGAGGUAAUUGGAGAGAACCCUAAUAUCAUUAAAGGUCUGAAAGAUGCCAGGAGUGCUGGAGUGGGAUCAAGAAAGAGGUGUCAGUUCCCGAGCUCCCAGCAGUGACCGUCAGCAAGGGACAGAAGGUGAAUACAGUUUGUUAGGUGUAUGGCAACAGCAAAGAAGCAGGCUUCCAUGUAACCUGUUAGGGAUGGACAUAUACCAGGGGAAGACUUUCAGGUGGAUAACAUAUUUUCCAGGUUUUGGCCUUGGCUUUCCUGACUGAGUAGAUGCCUGUUUACAGGUGCUGCCUCUUUGUGAAGACACCAGUACUCCAUUCACAUAUCUUACCAGAUAAGGUAAUCCUGUUUCCAGGAUUGAGGACACUGUGCAUCCUGUAUUUAGACAAUGUAGUUUUCACCUUAUUGGUUAAAAUCCUUCAUGAUGAUGAUACAGGUAUAGGCCAUACCUGUACCUGGGUGUCCCCUGACUAACAGCUUCACGCAGAGCACUCCAAAAAUAAGAGUCUGUAAACCACCCUGAGAUGAGAAAGCAGACUCCUUGCCAGGGUGCUAGCAAGGCUUAGGAGAGCCUGUGGGGUCUGCUCAUUGUCAGUAUUCCAACUCAUUGAUACUGAUGGUUUCGGUGGGCAUAGAGUGCAGGGGCUGUGUAGCACAUGUGUUAAUCAUUCUGUAUUCUCUAGUGUCUGUCCUUGUGCCUUGCUCAUAGUAGGUACUCUAUAAACAUUUAUUGAUUGAAUUGAUGAGGCUUGGAAAAAAUAUCCAGAAGCAGUUAUGGCAUAUAAUACUUGCUUUUAUGAGCUGAUAUAAUUUCUCAUUCAGCCACACAAAGAUCUCUUAGUCACAUAAAAUAAUCUUUUAUUUUAACCUGGAUUUUUUUUUUUUUGUUUUAACAGUGCUUUUAAAAAAUCUGUUGCUUUAAUAGGUGUGUUUUAGCAGGGCACUUUUUCUAGCAAUUUAUAUCACUACCAUGUUCAGUAUUUGUAUUAGUGGAAAUCUCAACAUUCUAACAAAGGCUGGGACUCAUAGUAUUUGAGUUUUAAAAUCUUUCUUAGAGACGUAGAAUAUACACAAAUGCCUUGCAUAUGUUCCAAUAGAGUGUGGGCAGAACUAGGAUCAUAGUCAUGUGCAACAGAAGCCCUCUAUUUGCAUAUUAAUUAAUUUCUAAUAGUGAAGCUCUCUAUUAGCUUAGUGUUAGUAUACAUGGGUGUAUCUGGGUAUAUGGUAAGUAAGACAUGUUUGUGUUUGUACAGGUAGUCAACAUGGCUUAGCAAUAAUUUUGGGGAAUUUUUUAGUUCUAUUAAUAUUACUAGCUUACAGUAUUUUCAUCAAUUCCUAAUUGUGUUUUCAGUGACUACAGUAGAAAUUUUAAACACAAACUGAGUUUCAGUGCAUUACAAAAAGCACAAUUUUGACUUUCUGUCAGUCUUCCUUCCUUGUGGUUUGCAGUUAAGAUAUGGAGCAGAAAGUGCCUAGGAUGUAAAGAAUCAGGAUGCAGUGGUGAGGGUUGAGGAUGGGAACUCAGGUCCUACUCUGGGCUUAGUGUCAUUGAGAGGUCAAUGCACUUUGAUGACACCUCUGAAUGAUUUUUGUUUUACAGAGGUGGACUUGCUUCUUAAGUCUCAACAGUGCUAAUAAAAGCAGAGUUCUGCUUUAGCUUUGCGUGGGUCUGCAUAAUUUUAGAGCAUUGAUUAUUCAGCUCAUGGAACAUGCAUAUCUAAGAGCAUAGACUUUAGAAUUUAAGUCUUGACUCCACCAGUAAGGAGUCUGUGAUACUGAGCUAGGUAAAUAACCUCUUUAAGCCUUGAUUUUUCUUACCUGUAAACAUGGGGUUAACAAUAGUAGAUGCCAGAAGGUCCGAUGAUAGAUUAAAUGCUUAGGCAAGUCUUACCUUAGCAUCUGGCAGUUAGUAAUUGCUCAAUAAAUGCUAGCUAUUAUUAUUUCUAGUGAGUCUACUGUCUCUUCGGUCAUUUAUCUCCAUUGGCAGAGAUGUCAGAUACUCUCAUAGAUAGCAUUUUCAAGAGAUAAAUUACACAGGGUUUGCUCAACUUUAGAAAUGUUAUAUGAGACUUGAGUGAUCUCCUUUGUAAGCCAAGAACUAGUGCAAACAAAGCAGGUGACAGAGGAACACAUGGGGUGUGUGAAGCUGCAUUUCUCAAUUAGAAUUUGAGGCCACUCUAAAGUGAGCAGAAAAGAUAACCUGUGUGUGGAUGAAGUGACAUUGAUUCAGCACAGGUACGUGAACAGCUACUAAAUGUAAUCAGAUAUUAUGCAAAUUGAGCCUCUGUUGUUGCAUUCUAAUGACAACUCUCCUGUAAGUAACACUUAUUUCAGGAUUUUACUUAUUCUCAUUAAAUAAGCCCAAGGUUGUUUGCAUUCCUCAAAAAGGAAAACUGUCAGUAAGAACUCUGAGUCAUGCUUCAUACAACAGCUACACCUGUGUCUUUGAUUUGAUUGAAUAUAUAUAUUUAAUGAACCUAGAGAUUUUAACUUUCAAAUACUUGAGUUAAUGGCUCAGGAAACUCAAACAGGGGCU